GCGACUCUGCAACUCUGCAACUUUUGAGGCCUUUUUCUUCGGAACGACAAGUAUUAUGGAAAAUCCCCAAUCACCUGAUACAUUUGGGCCGAAGCAGUAUACUUACGAACAACUAGCAGAGGCAACUCAUAAAUUCUCCAACAAGUACCUCCUUGGCGAGGGUGGUUUUGGUCAAGUUUAUGAGGGAUCCCUAGAUGGUAAAACCUUUGCUAUUAAGAAACUUAGAUAUCUUCCGGAUCAAUUAGAGCACGAGAUCAGGGUCGUUAGCGGUAUCAGUCACCGAAAUCUUGUGAAGCUGGUUGGUUACUGCAUCGAAGCACAAGAACGGAAUGCAUUGCUUGUUUUAGAGUAUUUUCCCAAGAAGUCCUUGAAGGUUAAUUUACAUAAUGAAGAGGCGAUUUUGGACUGGCCAACAAGAAUGAAAAUUGCUAAAGGUACUGCGAAAGGAUUGCAGUAUCUACA
rnacentral:misc_RNA from 1 species